GCUACGGUGGUCUAGCGGUUAGAACGCUGGCCUUGUAAUCCUGGGGUCUCGGGUUCGAUUCCCGGCGGUGCCG
rnacentral:tRNA from 1 species